rnacentral:rRNA from 1 species
AGUCGAACGAAGUAGCAAUACUUAGUGGCAGACGGGUGAGUAACAUGUAGGUAUCUGCCCUUUGGCCUGGAAUAACACGAGGAAACUUGUGCUAAUACCGGAUAAGUCUUUACGGAGAAAGCUUUAUGCACCAUUGGAUGAGCCUGCACUUGAUUAGUUUGUUGGUGGGGUAAUGGCCUACCAAGACUGUGAUCAAUAGCUGAUUUGAGAGGAUGAUCAGCCACAUUGGGACUGAGACACGGCCCAAACUCCUACGGGAGGCAGCAGUGGGGAAUCUUGCACAAUGGAGGAAACUCUGAUGCAGCGAUGCCGCGUGAGUGAAGAAGGCCCUUGGGUUGUAAAGCUCUUUCGUCGGGGAAGAAAAUGACUGUACCCGAAUAAGAAGGUCCGGCUAACUUCGUGCCAGCAGCCGCGGUAAUACGAAGGGACCUAGCGUAGUUCGGAAUUACUGGGCUUAAAGAGUUCGUAGGUGGUUGAAAAAGUUAGUGGUGAAAUCCCAGAGCUUAACUCUGGAACUGCCAUUAAAACUUUUCAGCUAGAGUAUGAUAGAGGAAAGCAGAAUUUCUAGUGUAGAGGUGAAAUUCGUAGAUAUUAGAAAGAAUACCAAUUGCGAAGGCAGCUUUCUGGAUCAUUACUGACACUGAGGAACGAAAGCAUGGGUAGCGAAGAGGAUUAGAUACCCUCGUAGUCCAUGCCGUAAACGAUGUGUGUUAGACGUUGGAAAUUUAUUUUCAGUGUCGCAGGGAAACCGAUAAACACACCGCCUGGGGAGUACGACCGCAAGGUUAAAACUCAAAUGAAUUGACGGGGACCCGCACAAGUAGUGGAGCAUGUGGUUUAAUUCGAAGAUACGCGCAGAACCUUACCAACACUUGACAUGUUCGUCGCGACUCUAGAGAUUAGAGUUUUCGGUUCGGCCGGACGAAACACAGGUGCUGCAUGGCUGUCGUCAGCUCGUGUCGUGAGAUGUUGGGGUAAGUCC